AAUGAGGUGCCUGAAUAAAGGGCUGCCUUGAUAGGGCAGAUCAAGUGGGACGGACCCACUCUCAUU
rnacentral:tRNA from 1 species